rnacentral:rRNA from 1 species
GAGUUUGAUCAUGGCUCAGAGCGAACGCUGGCGGCAUGCUUAACACAUGCAAGUCGCACGGGCAGUAGCAAUAUUGUCAGUGGCGGACGGGUGAGUAACGCGUAGGAAUCUAUCUUUGGAUGCGGGACAACCGUGGGAAACUACGGCUAAUACCGCAUGAUGCCUGAGGGCCAAAGCUUGAGAGAGCGUCUGAAGAGGAGCCUGCGUCUGAUUAGCUAGUUGGUGGGGUAAAGGCCUACCAAGGCUUCGAUCAGUAGCUGGUCUGAGAGGAUGAUCAGCCACAUUGGGACUGAGACACGGCCCAAACUCCUACGGGAGGCAGCAGUGGGGAAUAUUGGACAAUGGGCGCAAGCCUGAUCCAGCAAUGCCGCGUGGGUGAAGAAGGUUUUCGGAUUGUAAAGCCCUUUUGGCGGGGACGAUGAUGACGGUACCCGCAGAAUAAGCUCCGGCUAACUUCGUGCCAGCAGCCGCGGUAAUACGAAGGGGGCUAGCGUUGCUCGGAAUGACUGGGCGUAAAGGGCGCGUAGGCGGACUGCACAGUCAGGCGUGAAAUUCCUGGGCUUAACCUGGGGACUGCGUCUGA